rnacentral:lncRNA from 1 species
UUUUCUCUUUUUCUAAACUAACCUAAAUACAACUUCAUCUUCAAGAACCCCAAAUCAAUGCUUCCGCAUCGCAUCUUCUUCUUUAUUUGGAUCCUGCAAACUAACAUCGAUCAUAUCGCUCGAUUCUCCGUUUUGUUCUUUGGGAUUAAUCUGGUUGGUCUGUUUGUUACAAGACAAAUAUUUUAACAGCAGGAGCUACUUCUCUUUGAAGCAUUCGAUCGAGCACAUGGAGUGAAUAGCUCGUCUUCCCCCUCCAAAGACAUGUUUAUUAGAUUAUUUUAACCAAAUAGAUGUAAAUUUUUUCCUUCCACAACCAUUCAAUUCAAGGAGAAAGGGAGAUGGAAUAUGCAAUCAUGGAUUUAGGGAUGCCGAAUAAAAUAGAAGGAAUAUCUAGACGUCCCUGUUCUUAUUCAGUUCUUAUUCAGACUGGUGUUAUUUUGAUUGAAAUUGUUGAUUGAAGUUGCUGAAGUGGUGGGUUUGUUGGGCAAGUUUGAUUUGUGAAUCUCCAAGCACAUUCUAAUCUCAAAGAUGAUAUAGAUUGUCUUCCUUAGGAACGAUUGAUACGAUUUAGUGAAUGUGGGAUUUAAUCGUGUGUUUCAUGUAACUAUAGAAUUUAGUUUUGCAGUGUGGAUAUUCAUAGUGGGUCUUCGCCUGAACUACCUGUGAUUUAGGGUUGUUCGGAUACUCUACCCUUUUUACCGAAAGAGCUAUGGGGUUGUAUCGGACUGAAUCGAGUAUUGGUGUUUUCUUAGAAAAUACGAUUGUAAUGGUUAGGAUGCAGGUAUUUACUUUUUCCACCCUUAGAAUAAAACUUCUUUUGCAUAAAGGGUCUCUACAUACGUUAGGCGUACAUAUGCGUACACUUAGCGUACCAGGGAGGAUUGGACGCGAGCAGGCACCACGUACGCAGGGAGUAUGUGGCUUAAGACCAAAACCCUUACUUUAGGGAAAGGACCCUAUUUAAACACACUUAUGUCAUUUGGACCAAACCCUAAACAACCUCCAUUUCCUCUUUUCGUCCUUAAACCCUAUAUUUGCAAGAGAGUGUGAUUUUUGAGCCUAAAGGUGAUUUUGGUGGCCAUUUUAGUGGGUUUGCAAGAAGGAGAAGGUGGUGUUCAAGCCAUGAACAUGGGAAGACCUUGUGGAUCCUGCAUCUAGAGCAUCUUGAAGAGCUUUUGAAGGUAAAAAACUUACAUCCUGCUAAUCCUUUUUGUUAGUUGAUUAACGGGUUUUGUAGAAGUCCACUUUUGAGUCCCCAAAUUCUCUCUUGUGAGUUUGAGCAAUUCCAAAGGUUAGAUCUGAUGUUCUUUGGCUUGGUUAAAGCAUAAAAAUGCUAACUUGAUGACUACUAUGGCUCCAAGCAUAAGUUAAGAUCUUAGGAAGAGUCUUAAUGGAUAAAAUGGGAUGUUGGGUUCACAUAUGGCAAGCAAGGGUAUAAAGUUGCCAACUUUAUGCUUUAGGACCUUUAAAAUAACCAAGAUCUGGGAUUUUGACAAGAUGUCUUCUGCAUUAAGCACUUAACAGAUUUUGGUGCAAAGCAGCUUGUAUGCUGGGCGUACUAGGUUGUACGAUACACGUAUAACCCAUGAAAUUAGUACGCUAGGUAUAUUGAAGAGGUACGCUGGGCGUACGCUCCCAGUAGACUUUGGGCCUCCGGCGGAUUUUUGAGCCAUUUGGGCCCUAAUUAGUCUUAGGCAUGUAUCUUCUAGUGUAGUGGGCCUCUGAACUUAUUAUUGGGUCAUUGAUGGCAUGAAUGGGCCUUUUUGGGCCUUGUGGCCUACUAUUGAUUUGGGUCUUGGAUGUUAGGCCCAUUAUCGGAGGGAAGACUUUUGGGCCUUAUUAGAGGAGUUUGGACUUAGGAAUUGGGCAUAUGUCUUGGAUUCAUGAUUCAAUUCUAAUUAGGAUAAAUCGUGUUUAUUUAGUGUGAGAUUACUGGACCAACAGCUGAGCAAUAUUUUAUCAACAGUCUGAGGUGAGUUCUCUCACUAUAUCAAUGGGUCAAAGGCACCAAUGUCGGCCUAUCAUUUGACAAAGAAGAUGGAUAGUUUUUAUGUGUUUGUCUGUUUGUCUGAAGACCAUGGGGGUAGCCCAUGACACUUGGAUAUAAGACCACGGGGGUAGCCCGUGACAUUCCAGGUUAAGACCAUAGGGGGAGCUCAUGAUACUUGGAUAUCAAAUCACAGGGGUAGCCCGUAGUUUUCCAGGUUAAGACCAGGGGGAGUCCUUGACACUUAAGACUAUGGGGGUAGCUCAUGGCAACUAUAUUUGUUGCGUAGUAUUAUGUGGUUGUAUGUAGUGUGAUAUUUUUGGAAACUUACUAAGUUUUUUCUUACAGUUUAUUUGGGUGUUUCAGGUACUUGCGGUACAAAAGGGAAGAGCCCGACUUGAUGGUGCAACAUUCACUCUCCAACACUUUCUGCAUUUAUCUGUUUUGAUACUCAGAUAUUUGAUACAAUAUGAUGUAAUGAAUUUUUGGGAACAUAUUAUUAUUAAAUUUCUAUUAUUAAAAAUAAAAAAAUUUACC